GACGAACGCUGGCGGCGUGCUUAACACAUGCAAGUCGAACGGAAAGGCCCUGCUUUUGUGGGGUGCUCGGGUGGCGAACGGGUGAGUAACACGUGAGUAACCUGCCCUUGACUUUGGGAUAACUUCAGGAAACUGGGGCUAAUACCGGAUAGGAGCUCCUGCUGCAUGGGGGGGGUUGGAAAGUUUCGGCGGUUGGGGAUGGACUCGCGGCUUAUCAGCUUGUUGGUGGGGUAGUGGCUUACCAAGGCUUUGACGGGUAGCCGGCCUGAGAGGGUGACCGGCCACAUUGGGACUGAGAUACGGCCCAGACUCCUACGGGAGGCAGCAGUGGGGAAUAUUGCACAAUGGGCGGAAGCCUGAUGCAGCAACGCCGCGUGCGGGAUGACGGCCUUCGGGUUGUAAACCGCUUUCGCCUGUGACGAAGCGUGAGUGACGGUAAUGGGUAAAGAAGCACCGGCUAACUACGUG
rnacentral:rRNA from 1 species